GAUGAACGCUGGCGGCGUGCCUAAUACAUGCAAGUCGAGCGAACGGACGAGAAGCUUGCUUCUCUGAUGUUAGCGGCGGACGGGUGAGUAACACGUGGAUAACCUACCUAUAAGACUGGGAUAACUUCGGGAAACCGGAGCUAAUACCGGAUAAUAUUUUGAACCGCAUGGUUCAAAAGUGAAAGACGGUCUUGCUGUCACUUAUAGAUGGAUCCGCGCUGCAUUAGCUAGUUGGUAAGGUAACGGCUUACCAAGGCAACGAUGCAUAGCCGACCUGAGAGGGGAUCGGCCACACUGGAACUGAGACACGGUCCAGACUCCUACGGGAGGCAGCAGUAGGGAAUCUUCCGCAAUGGCGAAAGCCUGACGGAGCAACGCCGCGUGAGUGAUGAAGGUCUUCGGAUCGUAAAACUCUGUUAUUAGGGAAGAACAUAUGUGUAAGUAACUGUGCACAUCUUGACGGUACCUAAUCAGAAAGCCACGGCUAACUACGUG
rnacentral:rRNA from 1 species